rnacentral:lncRNA from 1 species
GCCGAUAUGAUCCAAAAAAAUAUUCAUGAUCUAGAUAAUAAUCUAUUGCCACAUGUCCAGAUAGUGAGGUCAAAUAACAUAUAUCAACACAUGCCCCCCACUUUUUAGAUAAAGAUGAAAUUCUUCACAUCAAUCGUGGAAAGUCUCUUCAGAAGAUCUUAUCUCAUGACUUGUAUUGUCGUCAUAAAUAUUUCAUACCACUGA